CCAAAGGCCAUAAGAGAAAGAGUCCUUCCUCAUGGACCUGUUGAAGAAUAAAGAAAUCUUUUCCGGAAGCUCCCUUUCAGACCUUCCAUCCUGACCCAUGCCCAGGGUUGUGUUAAAUUCCCUCUUCUAAACCAUUAACUGGUAAGAGAAAGGGAACUAACACAAUUAGCUAAGAUUAAUUGAGGCAUCCUCGGAGUCUUGGGAGUGUCUACUUCUCCUGAAGCACCCAGCUGCCUGAGAGCCAACCUCAGUUGAGGUUCUGUAAAGCAAAGGAGAAGUGGGGAGAAUGACCAAGGGUGUCUCCUACAAAUGAAGACCAGUUACACAGGAAUGUUCUCAUACAAAUGAAAAGAAUGAA
rnacentral:lncRNA from 1 species